AGCAAGUAACAUGUCAUAACUUUGCUUUCCCAGCUAAUCGUCCAUUUCAAUUGUGUUGUUUGAAAUCAAUGAAAUGGACGAUUGGCUGUGUGAGUACAAGCGAACUUCUUUUAUCAGCAA
rnacentral:precursor_RNA from 12 species